UGCAUAUAUUACAGAAGGUGUCUUUAUACAGAAACUCACAUAGGACAAGAUUAGGUAUCGCUCAGCUGACGAGUGUGUUGUGACUGAGGUUUGCAGGAGCCAAACUCUGUACCUCCCUUAAAAGCACAGUUCAGUAUUUCCUCUUUCUGUGUCAUGGUGACUUUCUAGAACACAACCACUCAGAAAUAAUGAGAACAACUGGAGUUUCCUUCCUACUGAAGGUGCCGGGGCCUAUCAGAGGAGCCGAGAUUAAAGAGAUGCAGAGCCAACAGCUGAUGUCAGCUACUCUUCCUGCAGCACCGCCUCCCCAGAACAGGGCAGGCCUGUUACCUCAUAGAACCUUGUCCGUGUCCUUAAUAAUACUGUUUAAAACUGUAAUAAUGGCCACUAACAGCAACUGAAUGUUUACAGGGAGGCAGGCACACAUUACUGACUUCACAUUUACCACAUAGUAGGCAACCCACUCCAGUACUCUUGCCUGGAAAAUUCCAUGGGAGGAGCCUGGUAGGCUACAGUCCGUGGAGUCGCAAAGAAUCAGACACGACUGAGUGACUUUACUACUUUUACUUUUACCUCGUCUGAGGGUAUAUAAAGAAGAGAGGGAUACAAGAGGGCAUCACAUAGUACCCUCUUGUGCCCUGUGAACACAGGUGACCUCAGGCGCCCUGCCUGAUCUCACUUGCACUCCAUAGCAAGUGGUCAGCGCACGCAGUGUCCCCUCCUCAAGGGGACAGCUGGAAAAGCCAAGCUCCAAGGAUUCAGAGACCAUUCUCCAGCUCUGGGGUACACAGUGCUGAAUAAAGGAACCAGGGACUCACAGCCCAGCCUUGAGAGAGUGGCCUGAGAGGGCAGCCAGCGUGUCCCCAAGCUGUGCCCUAAGUCUGCCACCACCACGCCCUAGGCCACUGCAGGGCAGGGCCUCCUCUCUGUUCACGUGCAUCACAUCACAUCAUGCUACUGACUUCCUCAACCUUGUGUGAUGGACAGGCAGCUCGCCCUCUCCAGCCCAGCCUGGCAUGGUGGGAGAGCCCAGAGGCCCAGACUGAAUGUCCCAUCUUAGCCACAGCACUCAUCCCAGCUGGGAUGUGAAAGCCUGAGGAUGGUGCUGCCUGGCACCCAUGUGGCCCAAGGCCACUGUCAGCCGCCCUAAGUGACCCUGAGCAAACAACUCACUUCAACCUCUGGUUUUUCCCAUCUAUAAAGAAAAGGGAAUAAUGACCCUUAUGCUUUCAAGCUUUCACAUCUACUAUGUCACAAUUCUAGGAGACAAACAGGCAGGGCUGGUAAGGGGCACAAAGAUAGUAAUUGUUACUGCUACAGAUAAAAUUAGAUGAGUAAAUAAUACUCCCUGGACUGUAAAAAGAAACAAAGUAGCUGCAAGGAUCAUCCCAUUCUUUACAUUUUUCAUUAAAGCAGGAUAGGUUGGGCUCCUCAAAGGGAAAAACCAGAGUCUCAGAAUAUUCCUGCUACUGAGCUCCCCAUGGAAGGAGGCAUACAAGGCAUUCACUGACUAGUCAGGGGUGCUGAUUACCUCCAGGAUACUGACAGUGCUUCUCACGGGCAGCAACAGUGAGAAAGGCUCAGAAAUAGCCCGCUAAGAGGUAAAGAGAGGGAACAACAGACUCUUCUUCAGCUGAGCAUCAGAGAAGAUAUAAAAAGGGCUGAGUGGCAGGAGGAGGGCCAGGACAAUUCUCUCCUCCUGCUGUGAGGUGGGAGCUGUGACCCUGCAGUCCCAAUAGCCCCACCUGCCUCUCGGCUGCCCCUGCCGGAAACUCCACGGGACCCGAGCCCAGACAGCAGGAGCCCAGAGUUUUUUGGAGGAUGAAAUCUAACUUGGUGCCAGGUGUCUAAUAGGUCUUCCAUCAACAUUUCCUGAAUUGAACUGUGAGCCUCAUACCAACGGAGCAUUAACAGUAGACCAAGAGCUUGUGCAUCUAAGACAGCUCAUCCAUCCACAGCUCUCGGCGCUUCUGCUCACAGUCUGCGCUUGAUAAACACCAGCUGAAGGAGCAACCUCACAGACACCAUUUCCUGACCUCUGGACGUGACUCAGCCCCCGCAGCACAAGGCCCACCAUCUCCUGCUUCUCUGGGGCCUGCCUGGGCCUCGCACACACCGCACUGCACGCAGCAGUAAAGACUCAGCAUGGGCCUCCGCACGCUGCAUGCGCAAGUUAAAAGAAUAAGAUGUUCGUUUAUUUUCCUCUAGCAGAGCAGAAGAGAGAUUUAAAUAUUUGAUACCUGGUAUCGGAGAGAAUAAAGGGAAGCAAACACUCUUGCUACCGGGAGGAAGGUAAAUUAGUCCUAACUUUUUGGAAGGCAACUUAGCAAAAGGUAGCAAAAGCCUGAAAAAC